rnacentral:snRNA from 1 species
AGCCACGCAGUGAGCACAAAGCGAACUAUUCUUUCGCCUUUUACUAAAGAAUACCGUGUGCACAUUGUAUUUAGUGGCAUACACUUAUUUUUGGAGGGGUUCUCUUUACGGAGUUC